UUUCAAUGCAGUUCAGAUGCUGUGGGGCAGUAUCAAAGCAGGUCUGCUGAGUGAGUCCCACUGACUGUAGUAGAAAGGGAGCAGCCACAGGCACCCCAAGGAACAGAGAUCUAUCCAGACAUGCUCUCAAUACAUGACUUAGAUGCUCGGAAAGGGUGGCCUUGAGUUUAAAAGCUGUUCUUGUGGUUGAAGACUGCGAAGGGAAGAACUGAGGCUAUCCAGAAGUCCAGUCUUUCCUGUCCUACAGAAGUCACUCCUUCCUCUUGCUGUCACACGUGCAGCAGAGACAUCUCCUUCGUGGACAAGUCUGGGGACUGCAGUUUGGCUCUGAGAAGAAAACCAGGUGCACAGACUCUAUUUUGUGUACAACUAUUAAUUUCUCCUGGUUUUCAAAACCAUGUACAGGCUCAGAAGCUCAACAAUCUCUGGAGCACAUGAAGAAGCUGGGUUUCAUCAAUGUGUGUCUCAGGCUUCACAUGGGCUGAGAAGCUUAAUCUCUCAUCUUGUAAUGGAGUGUUUCUAGAGUUUUUACUUAGGAAAAAAAGCCCAGACCUCACCUUGCACCUGAGUACGUGGUAAGAAAAUGAGCAUGCGCAAAGCCAAAGGCAGAGUCUGGUUGAGCUUAAGACUUUAGAAUAAGCAAGAAGGGAGUAACAGCAGAAUAGGGGUAAUGAGCCACUAUCAGGCGUUAAUGGGCACAGGAAGGCUACAGUAACUCUGAAGAAGGCAGCUCAAGUGACUUUGCAGAUUUUCUUUAUGGGAAGCUUUUCCUUUGCAAAAGGACCAUGAUAAGAGAGGAAUGAGCUGUGCUGUGAGAGCACUAGCAGCUGGUGCUUAUUGGUCAGCUGCAAGGACCGGGGUGUGCUUUGAGGGAAGUGGGCAAUACAAGGUACAGAGCUUGUUUGUUGCAGCAGGAGAAGAAAGCAGUACACAAAACAUGAAGAUCGGGUGAAAGCGUAAUAGAAGCGAUAAGUCAGAAAAAUAUGUUUUACCGCAAUGUGCUAAAUGGUUUUGCAGGGAGAGCAAGGAGAUUUGUUGAAACCAGAAAGAGGAAGCUUCAGCUGUCAACAUGUAAAACAGUGAAGACCCGAACCACAGCUUUACCCGAGAAAAAGAGGCUGGAUUUUCAAGGCAGUUUGCAGGAAGAAUGAAUAGGAUUUGUGCAGAACAGGUUGCCUCUUCUCUUGCCAGCUGUAUUCGUUAAAGAGAAUGCUGCUUUUUGUGAUUCAGGUUACUUCUCUGACAAAACUAGUGAGCGUUUCCAUGCCUGUCAUUAUUUAGAAAUUUUUACAAUAAAGCUGGUCUGAUUACUUCAGUUUCCUCUGCUUUGGUUCCUCUAAUUGUUGAAAUUAGUUCCUCUGCUGGAACCUACAAGCUUUUGCAACUUUUGUUUCACUCAUUAUUCCCGUUAUAACCAUUAUGUCAGCAUAAAAGUCCUCUUGCUCAGUAUAUUUGUAUGGUUCUGUUUUAGGCCAUAUACACUGAAAGAUUUUUACUCAAGAACUUAAAGCAUAAGACUGCCUAAACUGUGUUUCUGAAUUGUUAUUCUUUUGUUUAUUUCACUACUAAAAGCAAAAACUCACACAGCUCUUUGGUUUUUUUAAUCAGUUUUGAUGCAGGAAUACUUUGAUGUCAGUGAGACCAAUAUGAGUAAAGUUAAGUCUUGAUAGUGCCAAGAUUACUUCAAGUAUCCUACAAACUGCCAUAAUUUGAAUCAAGACCUUCUUGUGAGCCAAAAUGAUACUUUCAGUAAGAAACAACUUUGGAAAAUGAAACAAAAAUAAAAAUCAGAAUUAGUUAUGUUCUUCCAGCUAAUAUCAAGGUUUGCUGAAAAAAAAUCUCUGGAACCUUGAAAAAUUACUUAAACUCUCUUCUACAGUUGUAGAGAAGAGAUAUUUCCAUUACAGUAGAUGCGACUGAAGAUUUUCCAAGUGUACUUUUUUUUUUGUGUUCUCUGUUUAGCAUAAGCUGUAGUUGUAUUGGAUUCAUCUUUAUAGUCUACAGUGUAAGAAAUGACCCUUCACCCCUCUGGUUUGAAAUCACAAGGGAGGUGAAGAGACACGCCACACGGGAGGCAGAUGGUCAAAUGGAGGAAACACAAUCACCAGAGUCAGUUGUCUCUCCUGAAGAACAUCAGUCAGGAAGGAGUGGACAACUGAGCUGCUUGGGGAAGGAAGGUAUGAUACCUUUGGCUUUUGUUUGGUUUAGCAGUUUGUUCCCAUUGCAAGACAAUAACAGGAUUCAACUUGGAACCAGAACAGAAAGGAACAUUUUGUAUUGCUAUUUAUUCUCAGACGGAAAGGAAAUUUUACAGUCUGUUUUGAUGUUUCCGGUGGGGGGAAAAAAAAAAAGGCUCUCGCUUUUUUGACACAGGCUGGAGAAAAUAAGGAUCUGGAGCCUAACUGUCUCGUUUUUGUGCAAAUGGGGCUGCCAGCUCAGCCAGAUGCAUAAACUUCAGGAGGGGUACAGAAAUGAAUUGUUCCAUAGUUAGCAGAAAGGGAGGUACAAAUCUGGAGAAACUAGCCCAAACCACCCCAGAUUGUCUGUGUGUUCUCUCCCCUGCAUGAGGUUUCCAUCCAGCUGUACUGCAUUCAGUAAACUUAAAUGGGGAUGCAUGCACAGUUUUUUUUUCCUCCUGAAUUUCAGUUUCUUCCUCCCACGCAGUUUCAUUCUUCCCUGCUGAUAUCCCACACACCCCACACCAUCCCUUUUGUUUUCUUCUUGGGAGGGUUCAGUCCUUUUCAACAGCGUCCCCAUCACCACCUUCUUCAGGCAAACGCAGCCCUCCAACUGAUGUGCUCCUUAGGAAAUAGCCUUCCAACAAACAAAAUAUUGAAACUGCAAAGGAGAGGUGAAGGUGCAUACAACAUUGAUAAUUGUCUGAAUUGUACACAGAUUUAUUGUGUGAUUUUGUUGGGAUCUUUUUGCUCAGCUUUCCCUUGGCAUUCUCUUUUGUAUGUCUACAUUUACUCAAUUUAGAUACAUCUGCCCCACACACUUGUGCAAGUGCAUGGACAUGAUGCAACACUGUUACUGAAGGAAACCCUUCCACUAAGGGUUAAACAAGCACACCACUAAUUCUGAGAAGAAGGCUGAAAGAGCAAGAGUCUCGGGGGUGUUCAGUUCUGCUGGCUGAAAUCUAUCGUAACACAAAACCUUCCUAGUGCUUUUCCUUAUAGAGGGAUAGAGCUUGGAAGAGCGGUGGGACAGUAUCAUUAGGCACAACACCAUAAACGUAAACUGAAUGAGUCACCACCAGGCAAUACAAGUUGCUGGCUUUGAAGUUUUCAAAUACAAUACAUAGAACUGGAUGCACUUAGGUGUUCCCUUAUCAUGGUGGCUGACUUAGUGAGGUAUCAACAAGAAGGAAAGCAGCAAUUUUCUGUCUCUUGAGUUUUGUUUUACUACAUGAAGAGAUUAUGUUUUACGACCCACGAAAGAGAAUAAAAUUAUUUCAUCCUACUUUAAAAUUUCCUUUUGUGGUAAUGCUUGAAAAAGCACUGAUAGCAGGCUGUGUACCGUAGUACUGCCAACAUUACUGACUGCUGAUUUGUUGAUUUCUGUUCUAUGAAAUGAGUAAAGCAGAGAUUAUCUGUGUACAAAACUCAACAGAGUAUGGCUUUGAUCGGUGAUCAGCUCUUGUUAUCAAAUUCAUUAAAAAUAAUGUGAAGUUUCAUGAGCAGCUUUUUUGUGGAAUUGUGUCCCCAUGAUGAGUUACUGUAUAUUUUCACUAGUAUCUAAAUAAGUCUGUCACUCAUGUUUCUUCCUCACUACCUACUUAUAAAACAUGCUGAAAGACAACAUGAGACCUUUCUUUCUCUCUCACGUUGAAUUGCAGCUGGACAGAGGUUCAGAAUGAUGAAGGUGAGAACAGAGAAGUGUCAGAAGAAUAACUUGAUUUUUAGCUUCAAAUCAGGCAGGCUAAAAUUGGGCUCCCUUAUUUUCAUUUAAGGAAAAACAAAAUUGGGAUGAUACCAUGGUGAGCAGUAUGCAGCACUAGUGCAAAACAGGCCGCAGAGCAAGAGUAAGUUUGUCUUACUAUUCUGUAACUUUAGCACUGUCCGGGAGUGUGGGAAUGUGUUGUUGUUUUUUUUUUUUUUUUGAGUGCUAUGAGCAGGACUGAUGGAAAUUUAAUUUUUAGUCCUAAGAUGCAGGCAGCUUUUCAGCUUCCCCACAUAGUGUAAUCCAUUCUCAAAAAUGCUUGUGUCUGCUAAGAGGGGACUAUGGGAAAGUGAACAUGCACUUAUAUAACUUACUGUUCUGUAAGUGCUAAUUCAGUUUGUUUUUCAUUUCCUUCACUAUAUUAAGUCAGACCCAUGGUCCUGGAAUUCUUAUACUUCAUAUAAAAUCCUAAAUUAUCUAUGGCCAAAUCCAUGGUCAGGAUACCCGCAAUCACAGUCCUUGUAAAAACUUGCUUCAGCUUAUACCAAGACACUGUCUUCAUACUGAGUUCCAUUGGAAGAAAAACCUAGGGAAACAAAAACUUACCGAUUUCACUGUCUCAGCUUUUUGUUUUUUCUUUUCCAGCUUUUAGAAAUAAUUUUAUCAGGAGAAAAUAAUUUCAGUAAACCUGGUAUUCAAAGUUGCCUAAGGUUUUGCUUUGCUUCAUGAGAACGUGCUUCAAGUUCUUCAUGCAGAGUUUGGGGGAAAAAUUCAUGCUGCCUGUUAGUCUGCAGUGCUGACUGAACAUGUGGCGGGGAGACAAGCCAGCAUUUUAUGGUGUCUUGCAGAUUAACUAGCAAUAAGAUAGACAAUAUAGGUAAGUUAUAGUAACCACGAACUGGUGGAGUUCUCUAUUCUCGGUGAAAUCAGGAAGGGGUCAGCAAAACUGCUACCUUGGACUUCCAGAGGGCAGACUUCAAACUGUUUAGAAUGUUAUUUGGGAGAAUUCCUUGGGAAUCAGUCCUGCAGGCCAGAAGGGUCCAGGAAGGCUGGACAUUGCUCAAGGAAAUUCCAAAGGUGCAGAAACAGACUGUCCCCUUGUGACAUAAGAUGAGCCAAUGAGGAAGAAGACCAGCCUGGCUGAACAGGGAACUUUUGCUGAGACUCUGGGAAAAAAAAAGUAUACCAUCUUGGGGAGAAAGGACAGGCAGCUUGCUAAGAGUACAAGGAUUUUGCUAGGAUAUGGGAAUAUCAACCAACAGAUGGGAAAAUUAGAGAGGUAAAAGCCCAGCAAGAAUUUAAUCUGGUCACCGUUGUUAAAGAUAAUAAAAAAAAAUGUUUUUACAAAUACAUUAACAGCAAGAGAAGGGCCAAGGAGAAUCUCCAUCCUUUAUCAGGUGUGGCCAGGAACAUCAUCACCUAGGACAAGGAAAAGGCCUGGGUUCUCAAUGCCUUCUUCACUUUUGUCUUUAAUAGUCAGACCAGUUAUCUUCAGGGUAGUCAGCCUGAGCCAGAAGACUCAGAAGAAUAGGGAGCAGAAUAAACCCCCCAAAAUUCAGGAGGAAACAGUUAGCAACCUGCUACUUCACCUGGAGUGUCACAAGUCCAUGGGUCCAGAUGGGGUCCACUCAAGGGUACUGAGGGAGCCUGGUGGAAGUGAUUGCCAAGUUGCUUUCCCUCAUUUAUAGGUGUUCUUUGUCAAUCAGGGAGGUCUCAGAUGACUGGAGACUUUCCAGUGUGACACCUAUCUUCAAGAAGAGCUGGAAGGGGAUCUGGGGAACUACAGGACUGUCAGCCUGACCUCAGUGCCAGGAAAGGUUAUAGAACAGAUCAUUGUCAGUGCGAUCAUACAGCAUGUGCAGGACAACCAAAGGAUCAGGCCCAGCCAGCAUGGGUUCGUGAAAGGUCGAUAGUCAGCAGGACCAGGGAGGUGGUCAUACCUUCUGUACUCAGAACUGGUGAGGCUGCGCAUCGAAUAUUGUGUUCAGUUUUGGGCCCCUCACUUCAAGAAAGACAUUGGUGUGCUGUAACAUGACCAAAGAGGGGCUGCAAAGUUGAUGAGGGGUCUGGAGCGCAAGUCUUAUGAAGAGUGGGUGAGGGACCUGGGAUUGUUCAGUUUGGAGAAGAGGAGGCUCAGGGGAGACCUUAUCUCUACAAAUACCUGAAAGGAGGUUGUGGUGAGAUGGGGAUUGGCCUCUUCUCCCAGGUAAC